rnacentral:rRNA from 1 species
UACGGAGGGUGCGAGCGUUAAUCGGAAUUACUGGGCGUAAAGGGUGCGUAGGUGGUUAAUUAAGUUAUCUGUGAAAUUCCUGGGCUCAACCUGGGCAGGUCAGAUAAUACUGAUUGACUCGAGUAUAGGAGAGGGUAGUGGAAUUUCCGGUGUAGCGGUGAAAUGCGUAGAGAUCGGAAGGAACACCAGUGGCGAAGGCGGCUACCUGGCCUAAUACUGACACUGAGGCACGAAAGCGUGGGGAGCAAACAGG